CAUAACCACGGGGUCAGAGGUCACGGCUCCGGCCUCCGCUUUCCCGCGCUGCAGGGGAACCGAGACCGGACUAGUGGCGUGCCGGGAUGGCGAGACGCGGCUUCCCCUUCGACGCUCGGAUGCGUGCGUGUCUGCCGUGGGAUUCCGUCCUGAUCCGGGAUUUAAACUGUUUGCCCACCUUCCUGCUCUGCUUCCAUGUUAGCUGAAAGGUCCAAACCACUGCUCUCAGGUGGAGCCCAGGAUAUAUGAGGCCAGAGCCUCACAUAUGUACACUAUUUUGAUACACUGGUGCAGAGGACCACAUCUGGACACUCCCUCAAUACUAUAGAGAUGAGACAUCCCCGAGAAUCAGGAAGUUAGACUACUCUGGGCAUAUCAGUAUCUGGACACAGACCUGGGUACACAGGAACUUUACCAAUGUGGCAUCACUACCACACCAUAUGCUAUUUAGUAUUAUAUGCCUCCUCUUUCAUGCCUGAAGGAUGGCUGCCUAAUCCCUUCAGCAUCUCUGCAGGAUCUGUUCUACCUAGAGGGGUGCUAUGGCUUAUUGAGGGUAAUAAUAUGAACCCAGGCUUCUGUGGCUUCAGAACUCCCUGUUAAUGGCACAGCUGAUCUAGUGCCAUACUACCUUUAUUGAGUCUUUGCUCCUCAGCAUGGCCUGACAUCUCCAUCUUGUAAGCAUUUGGCCUGAUUGCAGUGUUUAAAUAUAGAUUGUACAUUUAAGCAUACAUACUAUGUAGUAUGUAAAUGAGAAUGUUGUUACGUCUUAUCCGCCAACUUUUUACACAGAUUUGCCACCUUCACGUUGCAUCUGGCAGAGUAAAGCCAUCACUUGGCAGUCCUGCACUUCAGUCAAGCUCUCAUGAGCCUGACUGUGAGGGGCCCUGGGGCCUCCCCUCCAGCUCCUGACCACUUAGCACAGUUCUGCAACUGACUUUGCCAAGCUUCACCACGAUGUGACACACUCUGUGCAGAAGCUUCAUCCUGUGUGCCAGAGCAUAGAACACUGCUCACUGUGAAUACAUGAGCCUGCCUCCAAGCCCUGACUGCUCUCAUUACUGCUGGGGUAAACUUGCAAAGGCAGCAAUCACUCUGUGAUCCCUUUAGAGCCAAGCAUGGUGGUGUGAGGCAGAAAGAUCACAGUCAGAACUGGCAUGGGAUACAUAGUAAGUUCAAGACCAGCUUGGUCUACACCAUGAGCUCUGGGCCAUCCAGGACUAUGUAAGAAAACCUAAAGAAGCAAAAAGAAUGCCCUUUAUGUAAACCUGAGAUUGUAUCAGUGCUACUACUCUCAGCCGUCAGCUUGGGAAGGGCAUGGUCCAUGGCUGGAGCCCAGGACAGUUAUCAAUGGCAGCUGGAAAUCUUGUUUGCCUGGACAAGGAACAUUUCAAAGCCAAUGGCCUGCUCUCAAUCCCAGCAAGGGACUUACCUCCCAGGCCCUGCUCUACAGUAGUUUGGCCCCGUUCCAAGACCAUAGUGUCAAGCUGAGACAGUCCUUGGAAAGUGAACAGUGCCAGAGAAAAUGCCUGGUAGAGAAUUUGCCAACCAAGCCCCCCCAAAUACGCAUGAAUGGCAGAUAGGCUUACUGCAGACACUUAACAGAAUUGCUUUCUGUAACCUCAAAGGGAAAUAAUGGUAUUCAAGGCUCAUUAGGAGAGCAUACUGGGGUACAAACAUGGAGAAUAUUUUAUGAACAAAAACGAACUUUGCCUAAGUCACUCAGGUCGUCUCUUCAAGGAAUGUGGCCAAGAAAUACACAGAUGCAAAAUUGGAAAAGGACAAAGAAGGGCACAAGUUAUGAGAGACCCUCCAGCCAAGAGGAAAUGGGAGAAAACCAAGACGACUGUGAAAGUUACUAAGCAUGGUUCCUGAGGGCCAGUCAUUGUUGCACACACCUGAGGUCCCAGUACUUAAAAACCGAGGCGUGGCUCUCAAGUUAAGGCCAGCCUGGGCUACAUACCCACACUUAAAAGGUCUGGAGAAAAAAAAACCCACCAGAAUUUAUCCAUGUAGGGUGGAAAGAAUGGUUUUAGGCAGAGAGCACAUGUAUGAAACUGCCAGCAGGAAAGGAGCCAAAUGGAGGCUGUGCCACCUGGUCUCAAAGGUCUAAGGAGGCAGUGUGAAGCAAGGGACAGACCGCAAAGGUACCAAGUACUCAAAGCCCUUUACUUUUCACACACACACACCCCUGCUCAGAAGGGUCAUAAUAUAUCUCACUUCCUCUCCCUGUGUCCUGGGCAACACGACCCCUAGCACACAGGUAUACACAGGUACAGAGGGUCACAAUCCCCAGAGCUGCAGCAAGAGACCUCUGCCCCUGCACAUGACCACUCUGCCAGCAAGUCCCCAGUUGGCUCGCGUAACUGAAGUACCCGGGGACCAGUUAACCACAAACCCAGUGAUACAAACCAAGGCUGCAAUGAUAACAGCUGCAAGAACUACAGUUAGGUCCUCGACAAAUGUCACCGACAACUCCACUGGCAGAUGUGACCACCACAUGAUUCUUGGAUACAACAUGCUCAGAGUAAACUUCAACCAAAUGGCAACUCUAGUUCAAGAGGACCUGCCAAAAUCACAGGUCCCAAGAUUAAAUGUUCAGUGUGAAGUUCAAAGCAGUUUCCAAGAUUUAGGAUUUUCUCAAAUAUUUUUUAAAAAUAAUACCAAAGAUGAAAAUACAACUAUACUGAGCUAGGCAGUAGUGGCACACACCUUUAAUCCCAGCACUUGGGAGUUCAAGGCCAGCCUGGUCUACAGAGAGAGUUCCAGGACUGCCAGGGCUACUCAGAGGAACCUGCCUCGAAAAACCAAAAGAAAAAAGGGAAAAAGAAAAUACAACUAAAUUGGCAUGAAUAUCCACUUGGUUCCCCUAUCCUGGAUCUAUACCAUCAUUGAGAUAGUCCCUGGUCCAACUCAAGAGUUCUAAUAUAUUUUAAUAAAACACAAUCCAAAUCACUCUUUAAGUAGUUGGUUUCCAGUUAAAGGAUUCUGACUGUUUUCCACUAAUACUUAUUAAGUCGAGGCAGGCUUCUAGUUUCCUGGUAGAACGGGGUGGGAAGGAAAGGCAUACUACACAUAGUUUGAGUAUACUUUAUGAACAAAAACUUUGCCUAAGUCACUCAAGUCAUUGGUGCUGUGGGAAUUUUUUAUUUACUUUAUUUACUGAAUAGGUGUUUUGCUUGCAUAUAUGUCUGUGUGCCUAGUGGCCAUGGAGGCCAAAAGAGGGCAUUGGAUCCCCCAGAACUAGAGUUACAGUUCUGAGCCGCCAUUUGAGUGAUGGGAAUCAAACCCAGUGUUCUCAGUUGCUGAGCCACUUCUCCAGCUGAUGUGUGAAUUUCUUGUUGGUAUUUUAAGAACCCAAUACUAUAUAACCUUUCUGCAGAAGUUCUGCAUACUUCCCUCCAGUGAGGGUACAGGACUGCGCGUGAGUCUCUCCUACAAGGCCUUCACAGGUGCUUCCCAGCUUGUCACAAACUUCUUCCCUUAUCCAGCUCACUCUGUACUCUAGAUCUCACAGUCGGUGCCAUUUCUUUAUUUACUAACCCAGUAUUAUUUAUAUUUAUUUAUUUAUUUUUUUUUAGUCAGGAUUUCCUGUGUAGCUUUGGCUGUCUUGGACUUGCUUUGUAGACCAGGCUGGCCUUGCACUCACAGUGAUCCAGCUGCCUCUGCCUCCCAGAGUGCUGGGAUUACAGGUGUGCGCCACCACGCCCAGCUUUAACUCACUAUUCUUAUAUUAUCAUACUACUUCGUGGGAUUUAUGAAAACUCUGUAUUUAUAUACUUUGGGUUUUAUUGUUUUUGAGACAGUCUCUAAGCAGCCUCAGCUGGCCUGGAACUUCCUAUGUAGACCAGGCUGGCCUUAAUAGCACAGAGAUCUACCUGCUUCUGCUUCUUGAGCACUCAGAUUAGAGCCUAUAUUUAUAUGCUUUUGCUUAACACUUCCCCUUUAAAGUGCAAGCACUGUCCCUUUUCCAUGUGCCAGGAACAAUCUCAGUGUUGUUACAUCAGUACCUAAAUGGCUUGGUACAUAGCAGGCACAUGAUAAUUGUUAAAUGAUUAGCAGGAUUUUCUCUUUCUUUCCUUUCUUUGUAAGAUUUAUUUUAUAUAUGUGAGUUCUCUGUCUGCAUGUACACCUGCAUGCCAGAAGAGGCCAUCAGAUCCCAGUAUAUACGUUUGUAAACCAUGUGGUUGCUGGGAAUUUAAUUCAGGACUUCUUAAAGAGCAGACAGUGAUCUUAACCAUGGAGCCAUCUUUCUGGCCCUAUCUGCUUUUCUUUAGAGCCUGCUCCAGAUGGCUUCUGAGCCUUUUGGCUAAUAUCAAAUGUAAAGCUGUUUUGCUCAGUACUGACUCCUGUUUUCCUGUGAUACAGAUUGUUCAUCACAUCUUCAUAAACACACAGCCUUAUCGUAGUAGCAGUGACAUUGUUGAACGUUGCUCUGGCACACACCAUGCUGAUUGCUUUCACUAUAUUGCUAAUCCUCAGAAGGGCUCUGAAAGGGUAUUCUCACUCACCUGACAGAUAGAGGCUCCAAAAUCUAGAGAAGUAAAUUAAAUUCCUUAUAUUUGCAGUGCUAGAGAACCAAGUCAGUGGUAGAAUUCAAACCCAGCUCAGAGUCCAAGCACUGGGGUUUUGGUGGUUUAAAUGAGAGCCAUCCCCCAUAGGCACAUAAAUUUAAAACUUGGUCCCCAGUUGGCAGCUGUUUAGGUUGUGGAACUUUGAGGCUUGCUGAAAGAAGUUACAUCACUGGGGGCGGGCUUUACAAGGAUAUAGCUUGCCCACUUCCGGUUCUUCCUCUCUGCUUCCCGAGUGGUUGAGAUAUGAUCUCUGAGCUUUCUGCUGCUUGCUGCCAUGCCUCCCUGCCAUGAUGAACUCCUACCCUCUGAAACUGUGAGCCAAAAUAAACUCUUUCUUCUAUAA